GCCGAAGAGGGGAAAGGUUCCAUGUGAACGGCACUUGCACAUGGGUUAGUCGAUCUUAAGAGACGGGGGAAGCCUGUCCGAUAGCGCGUUCAGCGCGAGCUUCGAAAGGGAAUCAGGUUAAAAUUUCUGAACCGGGACGCGGCGGCUGACAGCAAUGUUAGGGGGUCCGGAGAAGUCGGCGGGGGCCUUGGGAAGAGUUAUCUUUUCUGUUUAACGGCCUGCCCACCCUGGAAACGGCUCAGCCGGAG
rnacentral:ncRNA from 1 species